UCAGGAAUAUGAAAAUAAAGAUGUUAAUUAUGUUUCGUUAACCAUUCAACAAUGGCAAGAAGAAUAUGAUAAACAACAUCCCAGAAAAAAGGAGAAGAUUGACUGGUAUCACACUAUUCAAAAAGCAUUUUUGUCAGAAGGAAUCGCAAUUGAACCGUCUGAAAAGAUUGCCGUUUCAGCGUAUAAAUAUCUUAUCAAUUUGAUANCUGUGUUAGAACAAACAUUAUCUCGCACUAUUGUUAAUUACAUGCAUUUGUAUCUAAAUUCCAAACUUCGACCAUAUAUGAGAAAAUUAACACACUACACAAAACGAAACAGACACAAAAGGAGAGACUUGCUUGAAUAAAGUCGACUUGAAAUCCGNUAUUUUGCAUGAAUAUGUCAAGAGAUACAUGUCGCAUUUAAAUAUCCAGGCCAUCAGAGAAAUAAUUAUGGACAUCACAAACGUCGUUCGCGAACAACUAAGACAUUCCACAUAGAUGGACGAACCUACAAGAAAAGCGUUUCUCGAGAAACUGGCAAAUAUGAGGNGCAAAGUUAUUAACCCCGAUUGGUACAGCGACGAAGCUAUUGACAGAUAUUACAAAGACAUGGAGUUACGAACCGACAGAUCCGAUAGCUUACUACGUUAUGAAUCUUAAUAAAUUCGUUAUUACUGCUGCCUUGAUGCAAAAUUGGGUAAACGACAGUCUUUUGUUGCANAUAUAACAUGGACAGCAACGCAAUACCGUGGUGGACGCAAAAAUCUAUUGAUGCAUACAAAAACAUAACGCAAUGUUUCAUUGACCAAUACGAUGAGUAUCUGGCUCCGGGAUUAGAACAUGAGGAUAUUCACGUAAACGGACAAUGGACACUCAAUGAGAAAAUUGCGGAUUUCGCUGGAAUUACAACUGCAUAUUAUGCGUACAAGAACAAAAAAGCGAGAUCGGAUGACGGCCGUGAAUGGCGGCUGCAGAGAAGAUUACAACAAUGAUCAAGUUUUCUUUAUGGCUUUUGGUCAAAUAUUCUGUUCCAAUACCUUGCCCGAAACGUUAAAACAGCAUAUUUUUAAAGAUCAUUCCGUAUCUGAAAUUAGAGUACGUGGCAGUCUUUCGAACUUCCGUGAAUUCUCCGAGGUUUACAACUGCCCCGCGGGGAAGCAAAUGAAUCCGAUAAAGAAGUGCUCUUUUUGGUAACAGAACGACGAGGAACGAUAUAAUGUGUUUUUAUUUAUUAUAAAUCUACAAAAUUUUA